rnacentral:rRNA from 1 species
GACGAACGCUGGCGGCGUGCUUAACACAUGCAAGUCGAACGGAAAGGCCUGCAGCUUGCUGCGGGUACUCGAGUGGCGAACGGGUGAGUAACACGUGGGUGAUCUGCCUUGCACUUCGGGAUAAGCUUGGGAAACUGGGUCUAAUACCGGAUAGGACAGCUGUUUAGUGUCAGUUGUGGAAAGUUGUUUCGGUGCAAGAUGAGCUCGCGGCCCAUCAGCUUGUUGGUGGGGUAAUGGCCUACCAAGGCGUCGACGGGUAGCCGGCCUGAGAGGGUGUACGGCCACAUUGGGACUGAGAUACGGCCCAGACUCCUACGGGAGGCAGCAGUGGGGAAUAUUGCACAAUGGGCGGAAGCCUGAUGCAGCGACGCCGCGUGGGGGAUGAAGGCCUUCGGGUUGUAAACUCCUUUCGACAGGGACGAAGCUUUUGUGACGGUACCUGUAUAAGAAGCACCGGCUAACUACGUG